ensembl:lncRNA
GAGGGGGCCUCACAUCCACCAUGAGGGUCGAUGAAAAUUGAAAACAGAAGCAAGCUGGUCGAGUGAAUUGGUUUUCAUGACGGAGCAACAUUGAGUCAUUUUUCCCCUGAUGACGACGUGACCCCAAACCUCCGACCACGUCCACGCCGCAUUCAGAGCUCGCAGGACUAAACUUAAAGGACAACAUGGGACGAAGUUUGACUGGAGUCGCUGACAGCUGCUGCACGGGAGGUUAAAGCAGCACUAACCGGGUUUGUUGCCACGGAGACGAUCCGCCGUCCUGUUUACACCCAUGAGGCUCUUUGUGUGGGUGGAAGCUGUUGUAUUGUGAAAAAUAAAGAAACUCCGGACGGACAGAAGACAUCUCGGAUAGAACGUUUAGUUUAGUAAAAGAAGAAGUAAAAGGUCUUGUGCUAAAAAGAACAUCUCAGCUGAGGAGCCGCUGGUCAAACGGCCACAGAGCCCAUGGACCCCCCAUAGUGACUCCUGCCUCCACCAACCAGCUCCUGGAACAAGGGUGCCUGCAGCACCACGGACAGCAGCAGACCCUGACCUCUGACCUUUGACCCCGCUGCAGUGAUCUGCAGAAUGAAGGUGCUCCCCGUGAGAGUCCCGGCCUGAAGCCAGCGCCGCCUGUCUCUGUCCCUCCAUCAAGACGUGUGGGACACGUUGCCAUGGUAACAGUGCUGCAGAGGUUCAGUUCUGAGGAUCCAAUCAAAGCUCGCCUCUCAGUGUGACCCAUGACACAUCACACUUUGUCACACAUCAUAUCUAUAUACCCUGCGCUAUACAGUAUGUAUGAAUAUAUAAAUCUUAUUGUCUUUAUAUUCUAAGCUUAUUUAACGAUUCUUGUUGGACUGUUGUACCUUAUAGAUCAGGGGGUCAAACAUCCGCCCCGCCGGAUGACUUUGCUCAGUGUGAAAAUGACAGAAAGACCGGCCCUUGUGAGAUCAAAGUGUGUGGCCCCCCACCAAAAACCACCCGUGUGCUAAUAUAGUUGCAGAGUUGUGCCAUUGUACACGUACUCUGCCGACCGCAUCACACCGAGAGGAGCCAUCAAAGGAGUCGCCCCCUGGUGGUCACUACAGAGAAUGCAGCUUAAACACGUGAAGCUCA